rnacentral:SRP_RNA from 1 species
GCCAGGCAUGGUGGUGCAUGCCUGUAGUCCCAGCUACUCAGGAGGCUGAGGCAGGAGAAUUGCUUGAACCCAGGAGGCGGAGAUUGCAGUGAGCCGAGAUCGCGCCACUGCACUCCAGCCUGGGUGACAGAGCGAGACUCCGUCUCAA